GUCAGCAGAUAUCACUGCCUAUACCACCUGCAUGAAACCAGCUGGUCGCCCAGAGCUGGAUGAGUCUAUGGUGAUGCAAGCUCGGCCUGCCACUUCAUCUUGGGACCCAGUUGAAGCAACUUUUCCUGACAACCCGGAGGUGAUGCCAUCCGCCGCAUGCUACGGCGAGUGGCAACUAAUGAGCUGCUGACACAUUAUAGCCUGCGGGGAAGAAAGACAAAGGCCUUCCA